UAGGGAAUAUUGCAAAAUGGGCGAAAGCCCGAUGCAGCAACGCCGCGUGGGCGAUGAAGGCCUUCGGGUCGUAAAGCCCUUUUUGAGGGGAUGAGGAAGGACAGUACCCUCAGAAUAAGCCUCGGCUAACUACGUGCCAGCAGCCGCGGUAAAACGUAGGAGGCGAGCGUUAUCCGGAUUUACUGGGCGUACAGCGUGUGCAGGCGGAUUGGAGAGUUGGAUGUGAAAGCUCCCGGCUUAACUGGGAGAGGUCGUUCAAUACUUCCAGUCUUGAGUGCAGUAGAGGGAAGUGAAAUUCCGGGUGUAGUGGUGAAAUGCGUAGAGAUCCGGAGGAAAACCAGUGGCGAAAGCGGCUUCCUGGACUGUAACUGACGCUCAGACGCGAAAGCUAGGGUAG
rnacentral:rRNA from 1 species